rnacentral:lncRNA from 1 species
GAGAAUGUUGAGAUUAACAAUGCAUGUCAACUCCUCAGCAUCAACUGAAUCACUCCCACGAUAAUGUCCGAAAUAAUCCACUCUCCCACCAUAAUGUCUGAAAUACUCCACUCAUCAUUCUCUCUUUUUCUCUGUCUCCAAGCCAGAGUCUACAAACAUCAAAGCAAACACAUUUCAGUAUUUCAGUCUCUCUAUUACAAAGACUUUCUCUCUCCAAAAUUUGAUGAUAGGCACUAUCUUUUUCAGAUCAAGAUUAACUAAGUUUAUUUACCAGUCAUCCACAACGGUCCAAAUUAACUAGAUCAAAUUCUGUUCUUGACCAUCUCAAAUUUAUCACUCUCAAAGUGAAUCAAAAACAGAGUAAAUUAUAAAUUUAAGAAAGAAGACCCCUACAUACCCAAAAGAAAUCUUAAAACUUAAAAAAUCUAAAGGGGGAGAUAUAACAAAUUUCAAUCUGAUAAAAAAUCAAGUACACCCACAUUGUCAAACAAAAAAAAAUCAGCUAAAACCAAGCCACAAAUCAAAUUCAAAUAAUUUACGAUCAAAAGAAAAUCACAAAUAAAGAAAUAAAUUGAAAGGAUAAGACUCAACGCCAUCAGAAGAAGAAGAAGGUUCAUUGGAUUGUUCAUCUCCACUGCCCUUUCGGCUUUGGAGAACCUCUUGAAGUGUAGAUCUGGUAAAGAAAAAUUUAGAUCAAUUGCGAAAUUUGUUUAAAG